CUCUCAUUACUUCAAAAGUUCCCGCAAGCCCAUAUGUAAAAAAAAAAGAAGUUUUUUUACGGAAAUCGACGGAAAGGUCUACUAGAGACGAAAGAUUGCCGUAUUAUUAAAAGAGAAAAGAGGCAUGGUCAUGCCUUACCCAAAUGACCUUAUCUUAUCACCCAUCUCUUGUUAUGCGCUCGUAAAUUAGUUGAGCUCUGAGUGACUGUAUGCAAAUGAGUUCAUAUCUGGGGUCCGGAUCUCGCGUGGGAAAAAAAAAAUUCAUGCAUGGGACACUCACACAUACAUCCACAGCAGAUGAAAGAUGAAGAGUUAAUUAAACUUAGCAGACUUAAUUAUUUUAGGACCGGAGAGACGCAUGCGCAUUGAACUUACUUCCAGCUUCCUCUCGAUAUCCAAUUAAUUGUCCCGUGCAUGAAUUUCUCUUAAUUAGCUGUAAAUCCAAUUAUGAUAUCUAUAAUACGUACUUAUACCGCAUUCUCAACCACCAGAUGCACACAUAUAUAACCACACUAUCCUUUAAGAAACAUUUCCAACAUCAGAUGACAUUGACAUAACAGAAGAAGCAUCCUUAAUCUCUACUAUAUUUUAAAGACUAAAGGAAACUAUUAUACGAAACAUAUGUAUCAGAUUGUUUCUACAAAUCAGUCAUAGAAUCCCUGUGAAGUAUUUGCUCUGAAAUAAUAUCAUUAGCCAAGUUUCUGGACAUCCCUGACUGGAGUGUCAAGAAGAGGAGCCUGUGUACUAAUUAAAGUUGGAUUUAAUUAAUGAAAGUGUUGCUAAAGAAGGGUAACAACUGGACAGAAAUACAGCAGAAGAAGUGUUUGUAAGAAAUAAAGUACAAGAAGAAAAGGAAGGAAAAUGUAUAAACUUGGAUUUGAGAGGAAAAGUAAUGGAAAAGAGUGAGAAAAUUAUAGAAUUGAUUUCCUCUCAACACAUG